UGGGGAAUUGUUCGCAAUGGGCGCAAGCCUGACGACGCAACGCCGCGUGGAGGAUGAAGAUCUUCGGGUCGUAAACUCCUUUCGACCGAGAUGAACGUCUGCCGACCUAAUACGUCGGCAGGGUGACAGUACCGGAAGAAGAAGCCCCGGCUAACUCCGUGCCAGCAGCCGCGGUAAUACGAAGGUGGCAAGCGUUGUUCGGAUUUACUGGGCGUACAGGGAGCGUAGGCGGUUGGGUAAGCCCUCCGUGAAAUCUCCGGGCCUAACCCGGAAAGUGCGGAGGGGACUGCUCAGCUAGAGGAUGGGAGAGGAGCGCGGAAUUCCCGGUGUAGCGGUGAAAUGCGUAGAGAUCGGGAGGAAGGCCGGUGGCGAAGGCGGCGCUCUGGAACAUUUCUGACGCUGAGGCUCGAAAGCGUGGGGAGCAA
rnacentral:rRNA from 1 species